GAAAGAUGAUAUUAACCUCAUACAAAAAAUUUGUAAUCUCCAUAACUUGUAUAAACUGAUUAAAUCGGUAUAUUUAAUGAGCAUUUAAUUCCUGUUUUCUUUCCCUUCCAUCAUUUCAAUAGGGUCUUUUUUUGGUAAUCGUAGGGCCAUGUUCUAGGUCAAUGUUGGCAGUUUUGAAUUUUGAGUUACCCAGUGUGUUGGCAUGGAGCCUUUAGAAUAGCCGUUUCAUGCAAUUAUGCUGAAGCCCUGGGCUGUAUCUAAACAGUCUCUCCUAGGACCUUCUUUACUUGGUGUUCAGGGCAUUUAUUUUCUUUUCCUUGGUGGUCUGUCCCUUGGUUAAAAUUAGAACAGAGCCUGCCUCCAUUGCCUGCCUCCUUUGCACUUACUAAAACAAUGUCUUCCCUUUGGAAUUUCUCACUCAACUAGCAUUUGUUAUGCAAGAAAUAAAAUAAAUAUGAAAGAAUGUUAGAAAUGCCUUCUAUAAAUUUUAUGUUAGCUGCACUAGUUGUAUGUUAUG
rnacentral:misc_RNA from 1 species